rnacentral:rRNA from 1 species
UACGGAGGGUGCAAGCGUUGUCCGGAUUUAUUGGGUUUAAAGGGUGCGUAGGCGGCCGUUUAAGUCCGGGGUGAAAGCCCACUGCUCAACAGUGGAACUGCCCUGGAAACUGGACGGCUUGAGUACAGACGAGGGCGGCGGAAUGGAUGGUGUAGCGGUGAAAUGCAUAGAUACCAUCCAGAACCCCGAUUGCGUAGGCAGCUCGCUGUGCCGAAACUGACGCUGAGGCACGAAAGCGUGGGGAGCGAACAGG